CAAAAGUUUUACUCCAGCUUCAAAAUUAAGCGUAUUUUUGAUUUAUACAUGCAAGUUCUCGCGGUCCAAAUGAUUUAAAAAGUUAAAACAAAAAAGAAAAAGAGCUCAACUAAUAAUAACCUCUUUAACUCAUUUAAUGCAGUAUAAAAAAUUAGAAAAAAAGCAAAAGCUUGAACUAGUUUAAAAAUGAAAGUGUUGGAAAAUUAAGUGCCAGCAUCCGCGGUUACACUUUAAAACACAAGUUUAAUCCUUAGGUAAUGUGGUAAAAUAAUUAAAAAAGAAGAAAAAAUUUAAAUGUAACGGACAAAUGAACUAAAUUUAAACACUCCUUAUCUUCUAAAAAAUAAUCCACGAAAGUUGAAAAAAGAACCAGAAUUAGAUACUCUGUUACUUCCAAUUGUAAAAAUUUUUAUACCAGGGUAUUACGAACAUUUAGUUUAAAACCUAAAGAGUUUGGCAGUAUUAUGGUAACUCCGGGGGAAUCUGGGGUAUAACCGAUAAUCCACAUUAAUCUUUACCUUUUCUUGAACUAUUAUUUCAGCUCUUUUAUUGUCGUUUUUAAGAAGUUUAUAUAGAAAUAUUUUAGAAAUAAGCCAAAAGACUAAUCAAUCGAUUAAAACUUUUAAGACAGAUCGAAGUGAGGCUAAUGAAAAGGAAACUCCUGGACUACAUUAUUAUAUUUUAAAUGGAAAGAAUCUAUUAAAAAAUUAUCUGGAAAACGUACUCGGCAGUAAUACUUCUUUAAUAUUAAAGUAUGAAGAAAUAUCCAUAAUAUGUACAAAUCGCCCGUCAAUCCUGCCAUUUAUUAAGGUAGGAUAAGUCGUAACAAAGUAGAUGUACCUGAAGGUGUACCUAAUAAUUUUAUGUAAAA
rnacentral:ncRNA from 1 species